ensembl:lncRNA
UUGAAAUGUUUCAAUGUGAUAAUGAGAAGGUUGGUGGUAGGUGUGUUGUGUGAUCUAAGGUUGUGUCACUGAAGUUCACUGGAGCUUGUAUUCAUGAAAUCCAGGCUUUUCCCCUCUCUCUUUCUCUGUUAUUUAUUCUCUGCCAUUUAUUCCAGUGAUGCAAAGCUGAAUUGUCAGCAGCCAUUACUCCAGUCUUCAGUGUCACAUGAUCCUUCAGAAAUCAUUCUAAUAUGCUGAUUUGCUGCUCAAGAAACAUUUCUGAUUAUCAAGGUUGUUGUUUUGCUUUUUGUGGAAACCGUGAUACUUUUUUCAUGAUUUUUUGUAACAUUGUAAAUGUCAUUAUUGUUAUGAUCCAUUUUAAUGCAUUCUUACUGAAUAAAAGUAAAUAAAGAUCUUACUGACCACAAAUUUUCAAAUAAAGACCAUUUCUUCUCUCAGCCUCGAAUGCCACAACCAGUGCAUAGACCAUCUGAAGCACGCAGAACACAAAAACAGCAAGAAAUGGCUGGAAUAAACGGUUCCAAUCUGAUUGCCUGGGUUUCUGCACAAUUUCCAGGAGUCAGGAUGCACAGAUGUUUAUCGCUGUGUAGAUUAUGUAGAUCUCAGCACCGCCCCACCAGCCCGGUGAGACCAGCAUACUCAACACAACAGCUGGGAGAUGAUGCUAUAAACUGCCAUACAAAUCUCAAGCUGCACUGCAGUGUGCAAUUAUCAUCAGGUUCAUUGUCACACAUCCACUGCAUUUUUUUAAUUGAAAAAACUAACGUCUCAAGCUGAUAAACACUGAAAGGAAGCACUCAGCGGCCAUUCAGAGGGAUGAAGAGAGAGCAAAAAAGUCGAUGGCGUCCGGUGAAUGUGAGCAGAGUCACCAUCUUAUAUUGGCCAAUCAAUCAACCUAUCUGACAGUUAUUACGUUAAGCAGCCAAUCAGAUUGCUCAGCCUCUUUGCCUGAAGGCUGAAUAUACAGGAAAUGAUGUGAUCACUUGUGGAAGUAGGACGUGGCACACUGACACAGCUGGUGAGGAGUGCAGACCUGGAACACAUUAGAGAAAAUUAUUGUUUAUCUGUAAAAGAGAAUGAAGCGAAUGAUAGUGCUUAAUCUUUGAAAUCUGCUUUAUUUUAACCAGAAUUGUGUGGUUUCUUUGUAGUUUUGAGGCCAUGUAUCUAAUAUAUACACAUUUAAAUCUGACAUUUUUUCCUCUUCUAAACAGAUCAAAAUUAUUAGUGACUUGUCCUGGACUACAGAUUUUUGUCCAAUGAAAGGCUAGCUAUUAUAAUAAAGACCCAUCCCCAAAACA